rnacentral:lncRNA from 1 species
UUUAAUGAUAAUAUAUUGUCACUUUAUUAUUUAUUAUGAAUUGUGUUCUUGUAUAUACCCAGAAACAAAAUGUCGUAUUGGUACAUGCCACAUAUAGAUCACAAAGUUAAACUACUACUAUAGAUCCUACAAAAUAAUAAAUGAACCCAUCUAUGUUACCACCUCUAUGUUACCACCCACUAUGAAGGUAGUAACAUAGACUAGUAACAUAUGCAUGUUACUAGUCUAUGUUACUCCCCACUAUGAGCAGCC